CGCGUGGGUAACCCACCUUCGAAUCUGGGAUAACUCCGCGAAAGCGGUGCUAAUACCGGAUAAGACCACAGCCGUUUCGGCGGCAGAGGUAAAAGCUGACCUCUCCAUGGAAGUUAGCGUUCGAGGACGGGCCCGCGUCCUAUCAGCUUGUUGGUGGGGUAAUGGCCUACCAAGGCGACGAUCCGUAGCUGGUCUGAGAGGACGAUCAGCCACACUGGGACUGAGACACGGCCCAGACUCCUACGGGAGGCAGCAGUGGGGAAUAUUGGACAAUGGGCGCAAGCCUGAUCCAGCAAUGCCGCGUGUGUGAAGAAGGCCUGCGGGUUGUAAAGCACUUUC
rnacentral:rRNA from 1 species